rnacentral:miRNA from 1 species
UACCUCGUUGACCGGAAGAGUUUCCUUCCAGUCAACGAGGAUGUACCUCGUUGAUCGGAAGGAACCCCUUCCGAUCAAAGAGGUAGAUAUACCUCCCUGAUCGGAAGGGUUUCCUUCCGAUCAACGAGGUACAUCCUUGUUGACCGGAAGGAAACCCUUCCGGUCAGGGAGGUA